rnacentral:lncRNA from 1 species
AAUAUUCAUAUUCUUUAGUGAUUUUGUGCAUUUCGUUUGAGCAACUUUUUGUGCAAAUCUCAUCACUGCUAAACUUUCACAUGCUUAAACAAACCCAAAAGCCAAAGUCUUAAAACCAUCAAAGAUCCAGAAGAAAAUUUUAAAAUAAAAAAUGUUUAUCCAAAAGAAUUUUGGUGUAAAUUCUUAAGAGUUACGCUAACAUAUCAUCGAAUCCUCAAUUUACAUUCUUACUUUAAGCCAUUUUUAUCUUCAUUGAAAUGCUCAAUGAGAUUAUAUUUAUGCAGACCAUCUUGGUAUUAUCGGUAAAGAGUUAAACCGUACAUCUUUUCUAUGUGUCUAACUAAGACUCUUAAAAGAUAAGAGAUAAGAUAACAUUCAUACGUGUCUGGCUAAAUAUUAAAGUAUAAGAUGCCUUCAUAGUUUCUUCUAUUUAGCUGGUGACUAAAAGGGCAUCUCUAUUCAGUAGGCAUGCCUUUGAAUAGUAGUGUCAGUAAAGAUGCCCUUAUUUAAGUCGCUACACACAUGGGAAAAUGAUAAAGACAUGUUAUACUUUAAUUUUAACCAAACAUGUAGCAUAAUACAAUUUGGGGGGGUGGAGAAGAGUGGGGGGAGGAGGGAAUAAUUUAAAAUUGAUGGCGGUGUUCACUGCUUAUUAAUUAGUUUAAAAACUAGAAACUUAAACUCAGUCCAAACCUGUUAAAAGAAAAGGGUUGUUAUCUGUGUGGCUGAAUGAAUCAUGGGCACUCAUUUUCACACAAUGUUUCACACAAAUUUUUAGACCAUUGGAUUGAUACACUUUGAACAGUUGAGAUUGCAUCUUGAUGUGUAUUAAUUAUGGUGCUUUAAUUACACAGGUAAGACAAUCUCAAUUGCUGAAUGUAUAUUGAUCCAAUGAUCUAAAACUGAGAAACAAUUUUUGUUAAAAGUUUGCUACCAUGGGUACCUCCCUUAUAUAAGACAUACUUAAUCCAAACUGCAGCAAAAUUGAAAAUCUGAGACCAAAGUGCCAAAGUGCAUUUAUUGGCACCAUUCUCACUAUUGAGCAGCGAGGCAUUUACUAUUUUCUCCUUACCAGAAGAUUUAUAGCCAUAAACUGUGGUUUUAACAGGUAUGAAUGAGAGAAUAAAAAUGAAGAUGAGAUGAGUAGUCAGUCAAGAAGACUUUAAAAGAAUUAGAAAAAGUCAUCAACUCAUUUCUAUCCUAUUUUGGCCAAGAAGAUAAUCUCUAACUUCUGUAUCUUCGUUCUUGAGGAUCUGGCUAUGGUACCUACAGUUGUACCAUAACCUCACUUUUGUCUUUUGUGACUUAACAACUGAAAAUUUCAUUGAGAGCCUCCUCAUAAGUAUUAAAGAAAUUUUUGUCUAAAUACAUAGUUAAAUUUCAUUUAUCACCUUAUGCUCUUCUUUUUUUGUUUUUUCGUUCUUCUUCUCCUACCGUCAACGGGCAUAUUCAUCUGGUAAAAACUUUGUCACUGGUAAAGCUCAUUAGAAUUAAAUGCUCUUAGUUAAGCUUUUUCAGAUUCAAACAACCAAAUAUCUUUCCUUGGUUCAGACAAUACAGCUAGGCCAUGAUGGACAAAUGUUAGUUUCAUUAAAUUUAGUUGUUCUGAUGAUUAGAACAAUAAUUUUAUUAUCAUUUAAUUUAUGCAUAAUGUUCAUAUGUUUUAUAUCAGUUUAGGAUAAUACCUUCGUAAUACAAGGGAAGAAAAAGAAUUCCAUAAGAAGAUAAAGGAUUUGGACUUUGGGUAUGAAGAAAUAAAAGACUGGAGAGAGAGAUGGGAAAGGGUCGGAGAGAUAGAGGACGAAGAGGCAAAAACAAUCGAGAAAAAAAAAGUUAAAAAAGAGUUUUGCUAAGUUACAUCAUCUUUAACUUACAUAAACCCAAGAUCAGGUUUUUUUUGCAUGACUGAAUUGUUGCAUGUCCAACAACUAGAGGGUCAUAGGACACUACUUUUGGGUCAACUAUAAGUUCCAUAUAAUGUAACAUAUGAAACUUAGCAGCUGCCUGAAAAAAAUCAUGCAUGAAUUAGUUUGUAAGGGUAUAUUGGGUAUUAAGAUGAGUUUAUAAAAUGAUACAUAAAACUUUAAGUAGGAUAUUUGAACCCAUCAAAAUACUCUACAAACCCAUCUUUAAAAAAGAUAAAAUUAUCACUAAUAUAAUACCCAUAGAAUAACUUACGAAUUAAAGACAAACUCUAUUAUUAAAUGAAAUGAUUUUAUUUUCUACAUCCAUUUCUAUAACCAAUUAACCAUUCAAUAACGCUUAUUUAUCUAUUUCCUAAAUUCUACUUUUUUUUAUUUGUCAUCCUAACAUAAUUUUAUUGUCAAAGUUUUCAAUUAUCUAAAUGAGAAUUAAAAUUCUACUCAAUUUAUGGAUCUUCUGCAGUGUAGUAUAUAGGUCUAAUCUCCAUAUGUUGCAAAUGAAAAGAAUUCUAACUUGUCAAAGUCAUUUGUGUUUAUUUGUGCUGUUGAUUUCAUGGGUGAAUGAGUUCAAUUUGUUAUUAAAGUUGCAGGAUUAAAACUUUAGUUUAAGGGCAAUGGUGUUCGUUGGUAUCACUUGUUUCAAUGGGGAAGGAGAAGAAGAAAACUGGAAUUAUGCUGAAUAUUCAAGUAAAAAUAUGGUUUUCUAAAAAUUAAUGAAGGGUGUGGUGAGAAAUAGUUGCGUUGAGCAGUUUUGUGGGUUCAAUAAUUUCACCAUCAAUUUAUUGUCCUUUUUUUUUUCUAAACAAAAAGUCAACUUGUUGUCAACCAUCCAAUUCAUCACAAAAACUAAUAGUUGGGUUGACAUAUGACUUCUCUAAUAAUAAAAUUAGAUUAGUAAUAAAUAAUAUAUUUGAUUUGGAUAAUAAUAAUUAAUUUAUUUGGAUAAUAACAACCAAAUUUACCCAUAAAAAUAUAGAUAACUAUUGCUAAGAUAAGAGAAUGAAAGAAUAAGAUGCUUUUUUAAUAGAGCACUUCAUGCUUAUAAAUGUAAUUUGGAUGUAAACAAAAAAUACUUCAAUACUUAUAAAAAAACUGCAAAUUAAAAAGAGUGCAAGAUGCUAAAUUGAAUUUUGGCCAUGUAAGUAAGUAGAAAGUACCAUAGUACUUGUAUAUAUUUUGCAAAUAAGAGAAAGUGUAAGGUGCUUAAUGAAAUUUUUAGUUGUAAAGUCACAAAAGUCAAAAGGGGCUAUAUGGUUCAACUGUGGUACCAUAGCUGGAUCCCUUUCUUGAAUCUCUUUCUAAUCUUUUCUUCUCCAUUUCUGUUCUCUAUAUCUAUUAUUUUGUUCCUACAACACCCGAUACUUGGAAGAAAUUCUUUGGUUAUUGAAAACAUAUUAUAUUUUCAUAAAGGAGGCAUAAAAAUUAUUUAACUACCAUAAAUUUUUGCAAUUUUUUUGUUUAAGAGAAGAAAUGCGACCACCUAUAAGGUGCAAACAACAAAAAUGAUUAUAACCUCAAUCAAUUAAUCAACUUGCCUUUUCAAACAUAGAAUUUCCCAUCAUAAAAAUUGAUACCCAAAUCAAAAGGCAUCAAUAAUCAUUAAACAUGGUAAUGAAACACUUUCAGCCGGUUACCUUGUCAACAUGCGGUAAGGCUCGCGAAGGUCCUUAGUGACUAGAUCAUCAAUUAAAGUCCCAACAUAACUGCUUUCCCUCUCUAGAACAAUUAGCGACUUGCCAUCUGAAUGCCUAGCAGCAUUGAUACCAGAAAUAAUGCCCUAUGAAACAAAAUAAACAUAUUUAAAACAGACUUGCUUAUUGAAAAAAUAAAAAUAAAAAUAAAACAAAUUAGCAAAAGGUUCUUUUCUGGCCUCGUGGUAGUCAUUCUUUAAGCAUGCUUAUAGUACAAAAUAAAGCAAUUAUUACAAAUUUUCCAUUAUUCUAAAAAAUAAAACCUGAGCAGCAGCCUCUUCAUAGCCAGUUGUUCCAUUUAUCUGACCAGAGAAGAAAAGUCCCUCAACUUUCUUGGUCAUAAGAGACCUAUAACAUUGAUGAGCAGGCAAGUAAUCAUAUUCUACUGCAUAAGCAGGCCUCAACAUCGAGCAGUUUUCUAGUCCAGGCAAGGUUCUCAAGAGUGGUAACUGUAAUCUCUCAGGUAAACCAGUUGAGAAUCCCUGUGACGAAAUAAAAUGAUUACAUAUAAUACAAAGCACAAAGCAUCUACAUAUGAAACUUAUAACAGUUAUGCUGAUAAGGAGAAAGAGAAAAAUCUAGGACUGACAUGAAUUCCAUAACCAAAACACUUAAAAAUUCAAUUAAAAUUUGAAUCAAACUUUGAUUUGAUUGAAACAGUUCCCUCUUCUACUAUUAUUAGGAGUCAAAAAACUGAGAAAACCGAUGAAGCCUAUUAAAGACCGAAAAAGGUUUGCUUGAAAUUAAAGAUAUCUAGAACACUUCAACUUCUAGAAGUUACAGGCUAGGUAUUAUUAUAAAAAUUAGCUAACCUAUAGUCCGCACAAAGAAUUUUCAUUUCCAAAUCAUCCAUGUCUAAUAAAUCAUAAAUUUAAACAACUGAUUCAGGCAAAAAAAAUUUAAACCAAUACAACUUACUAUACAAAACAUUAAAUCAUCAAAAUCUUGUUUGAAUCCGUUGUCACCUGACCCCACAUUUUUAUUAUGCUGAAGAUGCAUAUACUGAAAUUAGAGUACAACAGAAGCCAUGUCAAUUUUUACUGAUCUAUCAAGCACAAGUAUAUUAUCAAGCUUUCCUUUUUGGAAAAUUUAAAUGUAUUGUUUAACUGGAUUCUAAGCUUUACAAGAGAAAAAGAAGCCUACAUUUUUUUGAGAUUUGUGGUUUUAGUGCCUUUUUAGAUGAUUUGGAGUGAAAGAAACAAUCAUAUCAUUAAGAAAUCAGGUAAGGACAACUCUGAUGGGCUGUGGGAAAAAGUUCACAAUUCUGCUUCACUUUGAACUACAGUUUCUAAGAAGUUCCAAGACAUCUUUUGCUUCUACAUUCAGCAAAGGAGUUGUGUGAAUCUAAUUGUAUAGCAUUUUGCUUAGUGGUGUACAGGUAUGGGUGAUUCGCUGGUGUUCAAAACGUCAUUCUGUUAAUGAUAGUUGUUUUUAUAAAGCUUUGCUCUGUCUCUCCAUAUUUUUGCUUUCUAUGCAUACCUGCUCUCUAGACUCUUCAUGGUUUUCAUUAUUUGAAACAGAAUUCUUCUUAUUUUAUUAUUAAUAUUUGUAUUCUAAGCUUAAUAAUGCAGAACCAAAUGCAGACUUUCAAGGAGGACUGUAUAACGCAUGCACAGACAGGGAUGUAAUGAUGGAUUAUCAAAUUAUCGUAUAGACAUCCUACUGCAACAACAGCAUUUACAGUACAGGUAAUUAUACUCAACUCCAAAACCCAACAAAGUACAUAUUUCCAAGAGAGUAGAAUUUGGACACAAGUAGCACAAUUCAAACUUCAUCAUCGCAUUGUCAUGGAAGAAGACAAUUGAUAGCUGACACGAAAACAAAAAUAUUCAAUCUGCCAUACAAAAAAUCAAUUCUUCAUUCUUAAAUGUUUUUUUAGUCUAUUUUUUUCAUUUUUCCGGCUCUCUUUGUUGCUAAACCUGUCGCAGAGAAAAGAAAAGAUAAUAUGGUAGCAAACCUGAACAUAAAGCUCAGGCACAUUACGGCCUUCUGGUUCAAGAAAAAUCUGAUGAGACUCUUUAUCUUGAAAUCUCACAAUCUGAAACAAGGAAAAAAAAAACAACUCAAUAGAACUGAUAAACACUGAAGUUACUAAUAGUAAUAUGUAAAUGGAAAAGCAUUGUGCUCGUAACUAAUUUGAGAUCGUUGGAAUUAGUAAUGCAGCAAAAAUAAACUACUUAUUCUUUCAGAAUCCAUGUUAAAGCCAUAUUAUAUCUCAGGAAAAGGAACAAGAAAAAGGUCAAGAUGUAUCAAGAUAUCUCAUGAUAAUAGAAAAAAAUUUCAAACAGCAUUAACAUAGUUAGGAUAUUU